rnacentral:snRNA from 2 species
ACCACUUCUCAGCCUUUUGGCUAAGAUCAAGUGUAGUGUCUGUUCUUACCGGUUUAAUAAUGGAUCAUUGCAGUGUUUCCUACUGAGUGCAAAGACAGUCUUGGGAUCUGUCUUAACACAGCAGUCACUUUCAAUUGCCAACCUUGU